rnacentral:rRNA from 1 species
ACGAACGCUGGCGGCAUGCCUAACACAUGCAAGUCGAACGAGACCUUCGGGUCUAGUGGCGCACGGGUGCGUAACGCGUGGGAAUCUGCCCUUAGGUACGGAAUAACUCAGGGAAACUUGAGCUAAUACCAUAUAAUGACUCCGGUCCAAAGAUUUAUCGCCUAAGGAUGAGCCCGCGUAGGAUUAGCUAGUUGGUGAGGUAAAAGCUCACCAAGGCGACGAUCCUUAGCUGGUCNGAGAGGAUGAUCAGCCACACUGGGACUGAGACACGGCCCAGACUCCUACGGGAGGCAGCAGUGGGGAAUAUUGGACAAUGGGCGAAAGACCUGAUCCAGCAAUGCCGCGUGAGUGAUGAAGGCCUUAGGGUUGUAAAGCUCUUUUACCCGGGAUGAUAAUGACAGUACCGGGAG